rnacentral:rRNA from 1 species
UACAUGGGGUGCAACCGUUGCUCGGAAUUAUUGGGCGUAAAGCGCGCGUAGGCGGUUACUUAUGUCGGAUGUGAAAGCCCUCGGCUUAACUGAGGAAGUGCAUUCGAAACUGGGUAGCUAGAGUACUAAAGAGGGUCGCGGAAUUCCCGGUGUAGAGGUGAAAUUCGUAGAUAUCGGGAGGAACACCGGUGGCGAAGGCGGGUCUCUGGGCCGAUACUGACGCUGAGGAGCGAAAGCGUGGGGAGCGAACAGG